UGCCAGACUCCUACGGGAGGCAGCAGUGGGGAAUAUUGCACAAUGGGGGAAACCCUGAUGCAGCGACGCCGCGUGAGUGAAGAAGUAUUUCGGUAUGUAAAGCUCUCUCAGCAGGGAAGAUAAUGACGGUACCUGACUAAGAAGCCCCGGCUAACUACGUGCCAGCAGCCGCGGUAAUACGUAGGGGGCAAGCGUUAUCCGGAUUUACUGGGUGUAAAGGGAGCGUAGGUGGCAGGGCAAGUCAGAUGUGAAAACCCGGGGCUCAACUCCGGGAGUGCAUUUGAAACUGUCCAGCUAGAGUGCAGGAGAGGUAAGCGGAAUUCCUAGUGUAGCGGUGAAAUGCAUAGAUAUUACGCAGAACUCCGAUUGCGAAGGCAGCAUACCGGCGCGCAACUGACGCUCAUGCACGAAAGCGUGGGCAUCGAACAGGAUUAGAUACCCGGGUAUA
rnacentral:rRNA from 1 species